AAAAACUUCAAACACCCUUUUCCCUCCUCCUGCUGCUGCUGCUGCUGCUCGCCGCCGCCAUGUUUCGUCCUUGCCGAAUGUGUUUCCUUUGACCCUAAUCACGUGACUAGAACAAACCAAUAUUUACGUCUACGAUAUGAAACUAUAUAAUGAACUAAUUUAAAUAAUCUUUAUCGAUAUAUGUGAUGUUUAGAAUAAUAAUUUCACCCGCACAUUGUACAGAUUGCUUCUAAAUUAAAUCGUAGUUGUGCGUUGCGACGUCACGCGUCGAAAGGUCACAUGAUGACGGCAAAGAUGACGGCUUCCGUAGUGGAGCAUGGAGAAGAUGCUUUUAGGAAAUUAUUUAAGUUUUAUAAGCGGAGAAAUCCUCCCCCAGACUUCAGUGAGGUUGUUAAUUUCUCCAAACCUCUGAGUAAUGACAAGGUUUUUACCUGUGAACUAAACUCCAGCCCUGUCAGUGAGCAAGAGCUUUCCAAAGUGGGUCUUCGGCCAGUAAAAGACUGGAGAUCCUUUGGUCUGCAUGGAUAUCCAGGGUUUAUCUUCAUAUCCAAUCCAUUCCUGCCGGGAUCUCAGCAGUACUGGGUUAAGCAGUGUCUGAAGAGCUAUCCACAGAAACCCAACGUGUGUAACCUGGACAUGCAUAUGUCAUCUGCAGAGACCGAGAACAUCUGGGAAAGAAGCAUAGAUGCUAUUCGGAGGAAAGGCUCUGGGAAAAGAGAGCCCAAGACUCUGCUAGAAAAACUGCGCUGGGUGACUCUUGGCUACCACUAUGAUUGGAACUCCAAGACUUACACCCCAGACUACUACACUCCCUUCCCCAAAGAGCUUCACUCGCUGUCCCACAAAGUGUCUGAAGCUUGUGGCUUCCCUGGCUUUAACGCAGAGUCGGGUAUUCUUAAUUACUACCGAUCUGAUUCGUCGCUCGGUAUCCAUGUUGACGAAUCAGAGCUUGACCACACCCGACCUUUAUUGUCCUUCAGUUUUGGGCAGACUGCUGUCUUCCUUUUGGGCGGGGCAAAGCGGGAGGACUGCCCCACUGCCAUGUUCAUGCACAGUGGCGACAUAAUGGUGAUGUCAGGAGCCAGCCGCCUGCUGUAUCACGCAGUACCCUGCAUCGUUCCUGCGCCCGCUGGAAAAGGUUUGCCACCCUGCCUGGGCCAGAGACUAGAGAGGGAGGUGCAAAGUGAUGACAUCAUCCAAAGUGUGUCUGAAGAGGACUGGGAGGUUUGCUCCUGGUACUUGCAAACAUCUCGGGUUAACGUGACAAUUAGACAAGUACUGGGUUCCGGUCAGACUUUCCCAAGUACAGAGACCCUGAGUGGGGCGGUGGACACGUCAACAGACAGCUAUCCAAAAUCAGAAGAAGAGGAAGAACCUCAAAAAAAUAAGAAGAGGACAAGUGAAUCAGGCUAUGAGUAACGUGUUUUCAACUGAAACGGGAUAUUCAAUGAGAAGAAAAGUCUUUCUAGCAAGUCAGUCCACUGGUGGCCAUCUUUGGAAAACUCCCGGGAGACUAUUUCCAGUCAUGCCAGUGCAGCUCCUAUCUACAUGAAUGAGGGAAUACAGAAUUCUCAAAAACGAUGAUUUUAAGAUUUAUAAAGAAGCCUGCUACUCCCAGCUUUAUUAAACGUAUUUCAUCCUGUUAAAUAGACAUUUUAUGCUGAUACACUGGGUGAGGGCACAUAUUAUGUAUCUUGCAUUUUCCUAUCAGCUGGCCAGUGUUUAUCUCUAUAUAUUUUUCUUUCUGUCUUUUAAAAUGCCAGUCUCUCUGUUUAAUAUUUUGUUCAGCUCCAGUAAGUGUAUAUCUCUACUUUGCAGUUUAAGCUUUCAGACACUUUAUACUCAGCAGAGUGUUUGAAAUGUCACAGAGUGCUAUUUUUCAACACAAUGUAAACUUCUCAAAGGUCGCUCUAUUCAGUGGGUCGUACUGCUUUCCCCACUGAAUAGAGUUCUUUCGUUUAUGUGUUUCUUUUUUUUUUUCAGUUAAGUAGUGAGGGAUAUGAUGACAUCGUAACUCGGUCUUGUACCAUCACCCAAACUCUUCUCCAGUAACUCUGUGAUCUCUGCGCUUGUGUUCACUCACGAGCGAUGCUGGUAUCUGUAGUGGCUGGGAAACAUGUUUCUCUAUUUUAUUUCCUGUCUCCCCAAGCAACAUAACAUAUUUCUGCUUGCUAAUGCAUAAAUCACAGUUUACCUCCACAAUGUACCUUGUAGAGGAGUUAUUUUGUGACACUAUCAUAUGUAAAACAUGAUACUGUGGUUAGUGCAUGUUGGUCACAAUUCACAAUGUGCUCUUUUACUUAAAGGACCUCAACUGUACUGUACUACAAGGGCAAAAAGCCUAUACAGUAUUGAUUCUGUUACGAGAGUAUUUACGUUUUCUUUAUGCAAAUCUAGCUGCCACAAUGCUAGGGUGUUGUUGGUGGUUGCCAGGGUGUUCCAGUGAAGUUGUGUUCUUGGUGGUUAAUAGGGCAUUGCUAGGUGGUUGCUACUGCGUUCUAGGUGGUUUCUACAUGGUUACUUACUGGCCCAAGUCAAAAGAUCCCACCUCCAAGUCUCUAUAAUGCUCUCAUCUUUAGAUAUGUCUCAGGUUCCUCCUUCAGUCUAAGGGAUUUUUUUUUACCAAUUUGAUUAUCUGCCAAGUGAAAGUUUAAUUUGAGGCAUCAUUCAUGUGCGUAGCGCAACCAGUGUGAGACAAGUUACGUGCCAAAAUGUAAUACUUAAGCUUGAGAGUUUUGGGAAAAACAAUCAUACAUUCUCUAUUCCAGUUUUUGAGAUGGCAUAAAUGUUGCUUUUUGUUUUCACAGUGGUUGGGAUAACAAUAGACCUUGUGUUCAGGCCACCAGUAGAAUGACUUUCUGUCAUUCUUUCUGUAUCUCUCUGUCUCCCUCUCUUUCCUUCGAUCUGUCAUAAAAUCACAGAUUAGGUGAGAAAAUGUUCAGACAUACUGAGGAUUACCAGCUGCCGUCAUUAUGGUGAUGUGCGCUUUCAACAGGCAGAGCCCCUGGCUUCCCGGUGUGUUGAUUAUGGCCCAUUAUGUUAUUUGUGCAGACAUUGUUUUUAAUCGGCCUACGCCCGUUGCCAUGGCAGCAUGGAUGGUGUAAUGCUUUUGAGGGACUGAUGGGGCCUCGUAGCUUGCUGCGGUUUAAAACUGCAUAUACUGUUGUUUACCAUUCACCAAUUUGAACCCUGUGGUCUGCGGUGAUGCGUGAGGUGUGCAGGGCUGAAUCCCGAGAUAGUGUGUGUGUGUGCGCGCGCCAUGUGUUUCAUGUUGGUUUGCCUAUUCUUGGAUUGGUCAUCUCCUCUUUAUGCAUAGGUAUCUGUCCAACAUGAUUUCACGGGAAGUCAGCUUGUUGCUUCUGAAUAUUCCAGUAUCCUUACAUCAGCCCCAUUAUGCAGAAUUACUGACAAGCGGCAUCUCUCAUCGAACAUUUUUCAUCAGUUCAAGUGUGUUUAUGUUCUCCUGUGAUGCAACUAAAAGCAUGUUGUGUUAUCAGUGUGGGAGACCCGGGUUCUCGCCCCGCGUUGAAACCAGGAAGUUAUUAUGUUUGCAAAAUCAGUGAUGAGCGUGAUUCGGAGGUUGCAUUUUCCCUCUAAGUUUAAAUUUUUACUUCACUGACGGUUAGGUUUGGGCUAGGUGGUAGAGUUUACAAAAUAUACAGUACAUUCCUCUUCACAGUAUUACAUUUACAGCUAAAAACAACUAGCUUUUGGCGCCCCUCUGUGGGCAUUUCACUCAGAAACUGGAGCACACACGUGCUUUUACGAUCAGAAACACUUCCUGCUUCAGCCACUGGGGGCAAUGCUUUGGAUUUUGGUAAGAACAGACCGAAUUUAGUUACCUACUGUUUCCGAAUUCACUGUGAGAUCAGUCUGAUCCCUCAGCAUUAAAGCUUACCUUUGUUGACUCUGAACUAAGAAUUUUAACUCACAAUUUUGACUCGCAAAGGGUUUUGGAUGAGUAAUAUCAUGGUUGAAAGUACCUUGCACUACCAUGUAAAAUACCAUGGUAUUGGAAUAUGGUAACCAUACAGUACAAUGGGAGUACCAUAUCACCAUCUGAUACCAUCAUUGUACCACCACAAGACCUUUUUCUUUAAAUUAGUACUCUUACCCUCAUGAGAAAUCCCAUUAAACUGACACUUUAAAAAUUAUUUCAGUAAAUUUUCAGUCUCUGAAAUGAGUCACCUUUAAAUAACAUAUUAUGAAUUCAUUAUAAAUAUGAAGUGUUUCAUUGAAAUUAAUGAGGCGUAUGAACUUUUAAAAUUUGGUAAACAAAAUUUGCAAGUUUUAAAGUCUGGUAAAUGACAAUGUAACUACAUUUACUACGGCAUUAAUUGAAGUAAUUUUAUGCUUUGGAAAGUUAUAUCAUAUUUAAAUGAAUAAUUUAAAUAAUUUGUUUAAAUCUUACUUUUGCCAGUAAUCAUAUUUUGAGUGGAAUUUUGUUUUGUUACUAACUGGUAGAAAUUUAGGGUCUCUCUAUGAACAUGAAUAAUGUGAAUUAUUUAGCACAUAUAAUUCAUUUCUAGAUUACUGUCAAAAUGAAAGUACAUUAUUUUGUAUCAUUAGCGUGUUAGUUUUAAUGUUUGCUGAUCUUUGCUGCAUAAAUGAAGUCUCAAAGCCUCCUUAAUUUCUACAUAAUUUAUUUUAAAUAAUAAGAUCCACAUUUUGCAUUUCUGAAAAACAUUGUGAAUCUGAGAAAGUGAAUGGUUUGGGUGCAUAUUUUCCUUUGAUAUUUCAGAUUAGCCUAAAGUGAGAGGACAAUUGCUUACAUUUUAUCUAAGAUCCUUGCAUGUUGCAAAGUGCAAAAUGCUCUUUUUUUCUUUCUGUGUCUUUCUCUUCCUCUCUCCCUUUUGGCAGCCUGUAAUUUUACUGUUUCAAUCACACUGGCUCCCAUGGCAACUCUGUCUGCUGAGUAGCCAGACAAGCUCUGUGAAAUUGUUCCAGGGCUUCUGUAAUUGGGUCCAGGUUAGAUGCAGAAAGUAAUGUAGUGCGCCGGGAACAUUAUAGAUGCCCACUGUAUGUGGGGUGGACGGCAAUGUUAGCUUUGAUGUGACAAUAUGUUACCUUUCACAUUAUGUCAGUCAAUGCGCAACAGCUCUUUUGAUAAAAGGCUCUACAAAAUAAAGAUAAAUAUCUGCAGGCCCUUGGUAAUAGGAACCAUAUGUUAUAAGAGAUGCUAUUUUGAUAAUCUAUUAUGAUCUGGAUAACCUGCAUAGAUGGAGGAGACAGUCAGACAAUACAUUGGUAAUAAAUAUUGAGAACAAUAUAUGUAUCCUCUCUUAUUUCUUUGUUUCUAACUUGGUAUAUGUAAAACAAAUUUAUUCUUUAAAAAGGAGCAAGAACAGCUUUGUGUAAAAAAAAAAAAAAAAAUGCAAUUAAAAUGUACAUUAUUAUUCAGAAUACUCCAUUACUGGGCAUAAAGCAAGAAGCUUUGAGGUAGUAAUAAUUCUCACUCAUGCUAUCUGCACUGAACUGAGUUCAGAGCAGCAUUGCCAGGUUUAUCCCUCAUGUGAGUGCUGUGGUCCAUUAGCGUCACCAAAUGGACAUUAAAUAUGCAAAGCAAAAUCUAAGCAGGUGCUCUUACUGGACGUCUCUGCUUGAUUGUGCCCUGAAGACAUCCAGAAUAAGCAAAAACAUGUUUACACACAUGCUUAGAAAUCUGAUAGUGUGAGAACACAAUGAAAGAAUAUGAACUCUGAUUAGAUAAGACACUCGCAAUUUUUACAAUUCUGAUUAUACGCACAC